rnacentral:lncRNA from 1 species
GGCGCGCACCCGUCGGCGCCGAGCGCGCAGCCUGCUCCACCGCCGCCUCUUGGUCCCGCCGCCGCCGCUGCCGCCGCCGCCGGGCAGGUAACUUCAUGCGCUCAUUGUCCCCCCCGCCCGCCCCCCCAUCCCCGCCUCCCGCGCCCCUCGCAGCCCGGCACACGCGCUCGGGCUCUAGGUACUGGGCGUUUUAUUGGAGAUUCUGAGUUGUUCUGCUUGUAGUUUAUUUUCUCCACCUUGGAGGCCCGGGAUGUGGGGGGUGGGGGGGUGGGGCGGGGAUCCAGAAGGGACAGGGCGGGAGGGGGGCGAGCGUCCCGGGCCGGGCGGGGUAGGGAGCGCGGCCGGACGCGGGCUCGUCAAGGCCCAAUGGCUGCUGUUCGGAACCAGAGGCCGGGGACCGGAGAAAGGAGGAGCGGAGAAGGAGAAGGAGGAGAGCACGGCCUGGCUGGGACAGAAGCGGUGGGACCCUGGGAGGCCUCCGCUGUGCCCGUGCCGCGCUCCUCGGGACCAGCGCGUCGCACACAAAGGGGCUGCCGAGCCAGAGCCACCAGCGGCCUCAGGGCACCGUGGGGAGCGCGCAGCUAGGGGGCGCUGUGGCGCACCCCGCCCCGCAGCCCCGCCCCCGGCCCUCCCCGGCCCCACCCCACUCCCACCGCCCUCUCCGCGGCCGUCCCCACCCCUAUCUCCGCGACCCCCACUCCUCCUCGGCUGUUCCCCAACCCUGUCACUGUGCUCCCCUCCCUACUCCCGGCCCGUAGUGGAGGUGACUUUCCUGCGCAGCGCCGCUUCUGAGGGCGGAGAACCCACAGGGAGUGCGACCCCUUUGCACGCUGUGAGUGGGCAACUGUCCGAGGGACUCGAGCCGAUCGAAGGGUGAGGACCAGCUCGCCUGGGGGUGGACGGCCUGGAAAAGCCGCCCCUCUUUGGCUUCCCUCUGCCGCCUGCAGCCCGCACCCCUCCGAGAUUCGUGCCCCACUGGACGGUUUGCGAAGGCUGAGGCUGCCUUGGGGACUCACAAAAGACCACAGGGGUGAUUCGAAGUGUAAAUAGGGAAACAAUCAUCAGCACACAAUCCGGCUAAAGGGAUAACAUAUGAGUUUGCUUGUUGUCCUUCAUGGGAUUCUUCUCUUUUUAUAGCUGGACGCCCUAUAGGGCUCUUGGCAGUCCACGAAAGACCUGGAGUCCGCCUCCCCAUUUCUCCGGUCGGUGAGUGGCAGGAGGAAAUCGCCAAACAUGUUUUCCCGCUUUGCCUCCCCAACUCGGAAACUUGCAACUUGCCGUGUCCUGGAGGUUGAGACAAUUUGGGGUCUCUUGGCUGCCGUCCAACAGAUUUAUCUCUGAGGGCAGUGUCCUUGGUGAGAGGUCCAAGUAGGUGUGGGCGACAUUGUCCUCCAUCUCAUGAGGGAGCAGCCCUGCACACUAGGGCCCAAAACUCUGCGAAGGAGCUUGGAAGUUCUUCAUCCGUUCCACUUGUUUUGCUACUCCACACACCCUUCUAGGACAUGUUGAUUGCCAACUGCUCUGUGCAGCUUUCCCAUAGCUGUCUGUUCCCGUGCAUUUCGGAGCACCAAGCAAAUACGAGCAGAGAGACCUGGAAAAAAAAAUGAUGAAGACAGUAUUAAUGAUAAAAUUAACAUGGCUGAGUGAAUUGUCAAUGCAAGUUCCUUUACUAACUCUUUGUUAAGUUUUGCUUUGUACUCCUUACAUCCUCUUUCUCUUAAGCCAUUGUUUUAAUUUCUUCUCGUUAUCAUUUUUAAAAGUAACAGAAAUACAGCUUUCUUCCUACCUUCACGAUUGACUUGGUGGAGGUUGGGUUGCAAAGAGGAAGCAGUAAGAAAAAAUAAUUAUUCUAUACAUUCACAAGUCCUUCAAGGCACAAAAUAAAAGUAAGAAAUAGAAAAUAUGUCCUUUCUCCUAAUAAAGGUCUUUAUAAUAAAAUUUAAAUGAAGUUUUGUGUUUCAUAACAGCUUCCCAAAUACUGUUGUAGAUACUAAAAUGUGCCUGUAUGUAUUUCCUUCCACAAUAAUAAUAGUAAUAAUAAACUUUUUUAGGUCCAAAUUAAACAUUUCUCAGCUUAAAUUUCUAUCCUCAAUCCAACAUUUAUUAUAUCAAAACUUGAUUUUUAAAAAUAAAACUUUCUUGGAAUUCAUCAUUGAUGUCUGUUUGAUGGCCUCGUGAACAUCAGGAAGAUGAAAUGAAAUGGUUCAAGACUGGAACAAUACCAUUAUCUGCAUCUUGACUCCUGGGAGAUAAUGAUAUCUCCUGCUUUCCUCUACAGACCUACCAGUUUUCUCUGCUUUAAGGGAAAAUCCAAAUGCAUGAGACCUGUGCAUUCUUCUACAUAAUCAAGAGUCUGGUUUCUUCCAUCGGAGUGUAUGGAGUUAAAGUGGUAUACUGUACAUGGCAUGGUGUGAUAGGUGGGAAUAUGAGCUACUGGGGGAAAAAGUUCUUACUUCUAGCCACUUAUACAAAGAGAGGCCAUCUCAGUGUAAUCUGAAAAAAUGCUCACUUUAUAAUGCUGUAUCCAAGGCCCAUCAAAAACUAAAUGGAUGUAUUUGUACUAAAAGUUGGGGAAAGUUGAAUAUCUAAACCUCUGAGCAAAUCUUUCUUAAUUUAGAAAAUAAAAUAGAGCAUCAUUGUAAUACUUUUCAGUUUCCUGGACAUUCAACUCCACAUCAUGGAUAAAUAAAAUAGUUAUUUGUCCAUUCACUCAUUCAUUUGUACAUUAAUCAACAGAGAGAGUGGUGAAAAACACUAAUGCUUUGUAUUAUUUAUAGGUUUAAAAUACAAAACAAAUUACUUAAAAUGGUUCCUGCUCUAGAUGUAGUCUUUCAGAGUAGUAUUUUCCAAACUAGUCUGGUCAGUGAAGUCAUCUUAGCAGUUUAGAAAAAUACUCAUGCCAGAGCCCCACACGCACAGAUUCUGAUUCAGUUCUUUUCAGGUAGGGCCUGAGCACAGGAAUUUUUAAAAGCUCUCCAGUGGCUUUAAUUUUCAGAAAAGAUUGAGAACCACUGGCCUAAAAGGAAAGAUAAGGUAGUCUAGAAGGAAAGAGUCCUUAACAAAGGAAAUGUUAAAAGUAUGAAAUUUUAGUAGAUAGGCUGGAUUGUCAUUUUGUGUUGAUCCCCAUAAGAGGACAUUGAGGAUCACCACUCCCAAAACCUCAUCACCUACGCUGCCUUUUAGAGAUGGAGUUGGCAAUUUGCCCAUUUACUGUCAGUAAACUUGCAUGACUUGUAAAGGUCCAGGUUACAGUUUAUUCACCUGACCUAGGAACUUUAUGUACUCUAGUUACCAGAAAAUGAGUGCCUGUAAACAAAACGUGUCUUUACCAGUGCUGAUGUAAUGCUAUCAGUACCUACUUGUGAAAUGCCUACUAUAUCGUGGACCUGGUCCUAAUUUCUUUACAUUGAAUUUCGCAGUCUUAUUUAAUUUUCCAGAUUACUUUGGAAAGCCUCAUCAGUAAUUACAAACCACACGGAGCAUUUGAUUUUGUUCCCUCAACAUUGCCCAUCUUCACUUUAAUUAUAGUUUCACAAAUUGUUACGUUUUCAAAUUUAUACUUGUUUUCAGUGACCACAUUUUAUGUCUACUGAUUCUUUGUAUUAUGUAGGUUAAGUCCUAAAUCUUGUAGUAAUGUCUCCAAAUCACAUACAGAAUGUGUUACUUUGGGGAAAAUAGCUUUUAGACAGUUAAUCCUAUCUGUGAUUUACAAGAGUCUUAUAAAAAUUAUUCAACAAACCAUGGUACUUCCUGGCAGGCAUUCUUUGCUAGAUUUUGGAGUUAGUUUUUCUUCAAGGGUUGAAGCCCUCUAUAGAUGCACAUGAGAAUGAAAUGUCAUAUAGAGGGGUUGAUUUUGAAAUGCCAGAUAUUAAAACUAAAAUCAAAGCCUGCCGUAUUGUAUAACUAAAUUAAUAUUUAGCCCUUCACUGGCCUUUCUGAUUUAUGGGCUAGUUUUCCAGUGACAGCUGAUGUCGCAAUAUUUCUAGGGAAAAGAAAGCCUCAUUCUUUUAAAAUACCAUUCAUUUUAUACCUCAUAUGGCCCACCUAGGAUUUUAAGCCCUCAUUGGACAUGUGUAUACCCAAUGAGGUUACAUGGUGAAGUAGCUAUUUGUUUCCUUAGAAUCUAGCCAAUCCUGAGUGCUAUACAUUUUAAAUUCAAAAGGACAUCAUUAAUGGUUUUCAUGGGAAAUGUUUACAUGUUCUCAAUUUACCAGUUAGCAUUUACUGUUGUCCAGGGU